GAGCCGGGUGCCCAGUUCCAUGGGUCCUGA
rnacentral:piRNA from 1 species